rnacentral:rRNA from 1 species
UUGAAGAGUUUUGAUCAUGGCUCAGAUUUAACGCUGGCGGCAGGCCUAACACAUGCAAGUCGAACGGUAACAGGAAGCAGCUUGCUGCUUUGCUGACGAGUGGCGGACGGGUGAGUAAUGUCUGGGAAACUGCCUGAUGGAGGGGGAUAACUACUGGAAACGGUAGCUAAUACCGCAUAACGUCGCAAGACCAAAGAGGGGGACCUUCGGGCCUCUUGCCAUCAGAUGUGCCCAGAUGGGAUUAGCUAGUAGGUGGGGGUAACGGCUCACCUAGGCGACGAUCCCUAGCUGGUCUGAGAGGAUGACCAGCCACACUGGAACUGAGACACGGUCCAGACUCCUACGGGAGGCAGCAGUGGGGGAAUAUUGCACAAUGGGGCGCAAGCCUGAUGCAGCCAUGCCGCGUGUAUGAAGARGGCCUUCGGGUUGUAAAGUACUUUCAGCGGGGAGGAAGGUGUUGUGGUUAAUAACCGCAGCAAUUGACGUUACCCGCAGAAGAAGCACCGGCUAACUCCGUGCCAGCAGCCGCGGUAAUACGGAGGGUGCAAGCGUUAAUCGGAAUUACUGGGCGUAAAGCGCACGCAGGCGGUCUGUCAAGUCGGAUGUGAAAUCCCCGGGCUCAACCUGGGAACUGCAUUCGA